CUUCACAAUAAAAAAAUAAAAGGUUAAUUAAGUAAAUGAUCCCUAUUUUAGUUUGAGAUUAGGAAGUUCUCUAAGUUGAGACAAGGAAAUUUGGGACAAUAUUGUCUUAGUGGUUUUGUUGUAAUCACGAUUUGAUUAUAGUGUAAAAUCCCUUAAAAGUGUAAGGGAGUCGGAAGUAAUCUCGGGUUGUAGGGUGAACCAGGAUAAUGAAGGACAGGACAGAACAACUCUAGUUGUCCAAUGUUUGAUUUGUAAAACUGUUUCAGGUACAGGACAAACUGGUGGCAAGGGACAGGACAAAAACUCAUAUUUUUGUCCCUCACCAAACCACAGCACAACUUUUUGUCCCACGUACAAGUUGUCUAAAAUACCAAAAUAGCAUUUUGUCCCUCAAAAAUCGUAUAUAACAAAAAAUUACUCAAUGUCAUAAAAAAUUUGUCCUGUGCUGUUCUGCCUUGUGUUGUACUGUUCUGUCCAGUACUUACUGUUUUGCAAAC
rnacentral:lncRNA from 1 species